GACGAACGCUGGCGGCGUGCUUAACACAUGCAAGUCGAACGGAAAGGCCCUGCUUUUGUGGGGUGCUCGAGUGGCGAACGGGUGAGUAACACGUGAGUAACCUGCCCUUGACUUUGGGAUAACUUCAGGAAACUGGGGCUAAUACCGGAUAGGAGCUCCUGCUGCAUGGUGGGGGUUGGAAAGUUUCGGCGGUUGGGGAUGGACUCGCGGCUUAUCAGCUUGUUGGUGGGGUAGUGGCUUACCAAGGCUUUGACGGGUAGCCGGCCUGAGAGGGUGACCGGCCACAUUGGGACUGAGAUACGGCCCAGACGCCUACGGGAGACAGCAGUGGGGAAUAUUGCACAAUGGGCGGAAGCCUGAUGCAGCAACGCCGCGUGCGGGAUGACGGCCUUCGGGUUGUAAACCGCUUUCGCCUGUGACGAAGCGUGAGUGACGGUAAUGGGUAAAGAAGCACCGGCUAACUACGUG
rnacentral:rRNA from 1 species